rnacentral:lncRNA from 1 species
AGUUCCAUCUAUGCGCUCCAAGUUGUAAAUUCUUUUGCCUCCUACUCUAACGACUUUGUAAAGUCUUCCCAGUUUGCUUUGAGUUUGCCUUCUCUAAGUAUCUUCGUUUUCUCGAAGUCUUCCCUCAAGACCGGGUCUCAAACUUGAAUGCUUUGAGGCUUAACGCCUUUGUUGUAGUACAAACCAAAUCUGCAAUUGGCAGGCGACAAGUAGAACUUGGGCACAUUCUCGAAGUUUCUCUGCAAAGUCAAGGUUUGACUUUAGGAUUUCGGCCUUCUCCAAAGUGAUAUGUUCCUCAGUGUGCAAGUUUGGCGUUGCAGUCUUUGAUAAGUAACCCAUGGUGAGGCGAUAAGGAGAUGAGUUCUUCAGGGACUUGUCUACGUGUAGACGGCGGCAUUCAAGCAUAGUAUCACCUAAGCUUUGCGAUGUUCCAUCUCUUAGUGAUUGGAACUCCAUCCCUACACUUCAAAUUAUAAGUUCCUUUGCCCCUUACUCCAACGACUUUGUAGGGCCCUCCUACCUUAAUGUUUUCGAAAACUUCUCUUAGGAACAGGUUCCGACUUGAGGCUUCAAGGCUUGACACCUUUGUUCUAGUAGGACCAAAUCUGCUAUUAAUAGGCUGCAAGUCAGCCUUGAGCGCAUUCUCGGGGGUCUUCGGUAAAGUCGAGGUUAGACUCCAAGAUUAUAGUGUUCUCCAAAGUGGUAUGUUCCUUAGUGUGCAAGUUUGGCAUUGUAAUGACUUGGACCGAGAUGACAGCUUAUGUCCCGUAAGACAUAG